CGCCCCGUGGCCUCAGCGGGGACCGGCACCAACAACAUCGGUAGAACCCGCUCCAUGGUGGCAGCGCUGCAGAAGCCGCCGGCGGCAGCACUUCCGGAUCACUUCGCCGCCAUCUUUGGUCCGGCAGUUUUUGCUCUGGGUGGUGCAAGCAGUCCUUAGCAGUGUGGACUGGCCCGUCCUGAGUUGACCCGAAUGUUGAAAUGCGCAGGGGCAGGGGGUAAGGGGUGGCGUUGCCCUUUGCUCUCCGCAGGGACGUGUGAUCCAAGGUCGUGGGCAGAGAGGAGCCGAGGGGUGAGGAGCGGUGUGGAGAAGGCAUUUUGGAAAAGGGCCCUAAUCGCAGUGCCUUUCUCACCCACCAUCAGGUGGGCUCACGGGGCUACCGAAGCUUAGCGCCUCCUUUUGCUUUGACUCGAAUCCUCCUCUAGUUCUAGGGCUUGGUGUGUACAAAAUUCUUUUUCUCCUGCAUUGCUUUCUCCCUCUUUAUUGGGGUGACUUCAUUAUCAUGCAGACAUUCUCUAAUAUGCGGAACUGGUGGUUCCUUGUGACUUUGGUUAAAUUUAGUGUUAAGUCUUGGCUCUAGAAAUAAUCUCUCUCUUUCUCUCUAUCUAUAUAUACACCCCUUAGGCCCAGCCUUUCUUCCUGAAUAAUCAGCAACCUCUGAAUCAGAAGAUCGUAGCCCCGACCUGACCCAUAGUCACACCGACCAGACCUCUGGCAAACGAAAGGUAACAUCUUGACCUAAAUUAUGUUUCAGUUUUUGAGUCCUAUGGUGGAGCAACCCCCUGGCUACUUUCCAUGAGACCAGAGGGAGUCUGAAAAGACUUCAGAGCUGUCCUCAAGACCUGAAGAAAUGAUUCAUUACCCUUCUCUCACCUCCGACCAAUCAGUUGGCCUAUAUGAUCUGUAACCUACAGGCCAUCAAGGAUUUCCAGCUUUUAAGCAUUAGCUUCCCAUUCUCCUCGAUAAGGCCAUUCGUCAAUAAAAUAGCCAAUAUUUCUCUA